UACGAAGGGGGCUAGCGUUGCUCGGAAUCACUGGGCGUAAAGGGUGCGUAGGCGGGUUUUUAAGUCAGGGGUGAAAUCCUGGAGCUCAACUCCAGAACUGCCUUUGAUACUGAAGAUCUUGAGUCCGGGAGAGGUGAGUGGAACUGCGAGUGUAGAGGUGAAAUUCGUAGAUAUUCGCAAGAACACCAGUGGCGAAGGCGGCUCACCGGCCCGGUACUGACGCUGAGGCACGAAAGCGUGGGGAGCAAACAGG
rnacentral:rRNA from 1 species